UGGGGGAUAUUGCACAAUGGGCGAAAGCCUGAUGCAGCGACGCCGCGUGGGGGAUGAAGGCCUUCGGGUUGUAAACUUCUUUUGCUCUGAACAAGGCAUGCCUUUGGGGUGUGUUGAGUGUAGGGGUUGAUUAGCGCCGGCUAACUACUUGCCAGCAGCCGCGGUAAUACGUAGGGCGCGAGCGUUGUCCGGAAUUAUUGGGCGUAAAGGGCUUGUAGGUGGCUGGUUGCGUCUGUCGUGAAAGCUCAUGGCUUAACUGUGGGUUUGCGGUGGGUACGGGCUGGCUUGAGGGCAGUAGGGGAGGCUGGAAUUCCUGGUGUAGCGGUGGAAUGCGCAGAUAUCAGGAGGAAUACCGGUGGCGAAGGCGGGUCUCUGGGCUGUUACUGACGCUGAGGAGCGAAAGCGUGGGGAGCGAACAGG
rnacentral:rRNA from 1 species